UACGAAGGGUGCAAGCGUUACUCGGAAUUACUGGGCGUAAAGCGUGCGUAGGUGGUGAGUUAAGUCUGUCGUGAAAGCCCCGGGCUCAACCUGGGAAUGGCGAUGGAUACUGGCUCGCUAGAGUGCGGUAGAGGAGAGUGGAAUUCCCGGUGUAGCAGUGAAAUGCGUAGAGAUCGGGAGGAACAUCAGUUGCGAAAGGCGGCUCUCUGGACCAGCACUGACACUGAGGCACGAAAGCGUGGGGAGCAAACAGG
rnacentral:rRNA from 1 species